rnacentral:rRNA from 1 species
CAGUCGCCGCGGUAAUACGUAGGGUGCAAGCGUUAAUCGGAAUUACUGGGCGUAAAGCGUGCGCAGGCGGUUUGUUAAGACAGAUGUGAAAUCCCCGGGCUUAACCUGGGAACUGCAUUUGUGACUGGCAAGCUAGAGUCUGGCAGAGGGGGGUGGAAUUCCGCGUGUAGCAGUGAAAUGCGUAGAUAUGCGGAGGAACACCGAUGGCGAAGGCAGCCCCCUGGGCCAACACUGACGCUCAUGCACGAAAGCGUGGGGAGCAAACAGGAUUAGAUACCCCUGUAGUCCCUGUCUCUUAUAC